CCUACGGGAGGCUGCAGUGGGGGAUAUUGCACAAUGGGGGAAACCCUGAUGCAGCGACGCCGCGUGGGCGAAGAAGGAUUUCGGGAUGUAAAGCCCUAUCAGCAGGGAAGAAGAAAGGACGGUACCUGAGUAAGAAGCACCGGCUAAAGACGGGCCAGCAGCCGCGGUAAUACGUAUGGUGCAAGCGUUAUCCGGAUUUACUGGGUGUAAAGGGAGCGCAGGCGGCACGGCAAGCCUGAUGUGAAAGCCCGCGGCCCAACCGCGGGACUGCAUUGGGAACUACCGGGCUGGAGUGCCGGAGAGGUAGGCGGAAUUCCUAGUGUAGCGGUGACAUGCGUAGAUCUUAGGCGGAACACCAGUGGCGAAGGCGGCCUACUGGACGGUGACUGACGCUGAGGCUCGAAAGCGUGGGGAGCAAACAGGAUUAGAUACCCUUGUAGUC
rnacentral:rRNA from 1 species